CUCUUUCUGAUUGAGUGUAAGCUGCUAUAUGAAGGGAUCCACAAGACGAAUAAUUAAGGGGGACCUCUGAUCAACAGCCAGCAAGGAACUGAAUCCCUCAGACCCACAACUCACAAGAAACUGAAGCUGAAGCAGAUUCUUCCUCAGUCAAGCUUCAGGUGCCCAGCUGUAUUGGUAGAGGAGACCAACCACACCCUCCACAGCACAGCACCUGGAGAGGAACUGCUGCCAUGACCAUAGAGGACACCCUCUGGAUACAAUGCCAGACUUGAUGUGGGACUGACCAACCUAUGGACCCCAGGCACCACCACCCAGACCUGCUCAGCACCUGAAAGGGACCUCUGACCCAAGAGUUCGGUCAAUGCAUAUGUUGGCAGCCAGCUGCACAUCGCACCAAAUAUGAACUUCAAAUAGAAGAAAGCCUCAUUUGGAAGAAAGCUCAUGCACAGACUGUAAAUAUUUCAGAGCAGAUUGUGUCUCUGUAGAUUAACAUCAAUUUUGCAGCAGCCAUGGCUUGUCCUAUGAGAGAUGAUUCUACCACAAGAACCCAACCACAAGGACGGCUCCUCUUUGAAGUUUUUACAGUCGAUCUCUGGAUCAGCCAGCGAAGUCCUGCUCCCAGGAUCCAGGGAGAGACCAUGGGUGCCCUCUAGGGCAUGGUACAAAGGGAGGAUUUGUUCCAGUAGAGAAUAGAAUAGGCCUUUUCUUUCACCUUUUGGUUUCCAGGUGCUGAACUACAUGUAGGAGUCUUGGUAGUAAAACCAAGCUUAAUGGUUAUUGAAAUAGAACUACCAGAGAGGUGGUAGAAGCACAUGUUUUGUACAAGUUGGUUAACUGCCAGCAGCUUUGAAUCGUGUAACUGCUUACAAAAAAUUUCACAUGGUCCAGGAAUAAGAGGAAACAAAUGUAUGAAAAACAAAUUCCCAGAUACUUACAUUUAAAAUAAAAAGCAAACUAACAAUAA
rnacentral:lncRNA from 1 species